AGCUACGGCCAUACCACGAUGAAAGAACCAGUUAAGCUACAUCGGGUUUUGUUAGUACUUGGAUGGGUGACCGCCUUGGUACACCGAGUGCUGUAAAUU
rnacentral:rRNA from 1 species